GAAAAAACAAAAAUUGUUCAAUUAAAUAUUUUGAACUUUUAUUUCGAAAGGUGUUUCGAUUUUAUUGAAAUGAAAGUAAAUUUGUCCUCUGUGAAAGUUUUUCGUUUGAUUUAAAAGUAUUCUUUACCUUAACUGAGAGCACAUUCAAAAGUUCAUCCUUUCAAACAGAAAACUUUUUAUCUGUCAAAUAAAACAGGACUCAGCACCCGCUCGUUCCCGGAGCAGCUGCUGUCAAAGAAGUCCCAUCUGAUUUCGGCGGAAAAGAAAACAUUAUCUUUUACCUGAAAUAAAAGAACGGCUACUCUGUUGCCCUCCGACUGAUAAAGGCCGAUCGUUAUCAUCGAAAACAUUCUUAAGAACAGAAAGAUUAAUGGCUAGCAGAACGUCAGAAUGCAUACAAAUGUCACGAAAAUCAAAAGGCAAAAUCGAUGGAAGCCUAUUUCGACAGAAACCUGCUCCAGGGAAAACCAGAUGGUCCAUCAGCGCAGCAUAGUACCAACCGCCUUAUUUUAAGUUGUAUGUAUUUGAUUGAAAAAGACAUUUUAUAUUGAUUUUAAAUAAAAAAAAUGUCUCGGAGAAA